GUCCAAAGAGACGUGACAGCAAUGUAUCGAGCUCCUGGAAAUAGUGCAAUUUAUAAAGAUUUUAAGGACAGAGUUGAUGUGGCCAUAAAGGAAUUGGUACAAAAGAAAGCAGAACUCAAAGAAGAAGAGAACCAGCUUCAGGUACUACAGUUGAGAAUGAAAAAACUAGAGGAUGCAAUAAAGGCAAAGGAAGACGCAAUGAAGGUUUUGGUUGAUGAUUGGCCUUCUUAAAUCCAAAGAAGGAAAAUGAGGUAGCCUGUGGCAACGAAUUCCAUUUGAACAUGAGAACAACAAACAACUCUUAUAGUUUUACCUAUAUUACAC